AUUUCAAAGUUGGGGAAUGUAGUAUGUGAUAGGGAUGCAUUAGAAGCUAAUAUGAAGGAUAAAAAGUACCUUGAUGAGUUGAAGUUUGAGUGGGAUUAUGAGAACACUGACCUUGGUGGUGUUGUGCAAAAUAGAAGGGAUAUACUCAACAGCUUACAGCCACAUACAAACCUCAAGAGACUCCAUAUUUAUUCUUUUAGUGGUUUAAGCUUUCCAGAUUGGGUAGGAGAUCCUUCAUUCUUCAAUCUUGUUGACCUGGGGCUUCAGAAUUGUAACAAUUGCUCGUCAUUGCCACCACUCGGGCAGCUACCCUCUCUUAAACAUCUUUCUAUCUUAGAAAUGAAAGGAGUUAAAAUGGUGGGUAGUGAAUUUUAUGGGAAUGCUUCUUCCUCCAACACAACUAAGCCCUCCUUCCCGUCCCUACAAACUCUAAGAUUCGAGAAGAUGUACAACUGGGAGAAAUGGUUAUGUUGUGGAUGCAGACGUGGAGAAUUCCCUCGUCUUCAGAAGCUUUGUAUAAAUGAAUGUCCCAAACUCACUGGGAAAUUACCAAAACAGCUUCGUUCAUUGAAGAAACUUGUAAUCAUUCGUUCUGAGUUGCUUGUGGGCUCCCUCCGAGCUCCUCAAAUCCGUGAAUGGAGAAUGUCGAAUCAUGGUAAAUUUCGGUUGAAAAGGCCAGCUUGUGGGUUCACUAAUCUCCAAACUUCAGAAAUUGAAAUUUCAGACAUCUCUCAAUGGGAGGAAAUGCCACCACGAAUACAGAUGCUUACAAUCAGAGAAUGUGAUUCGAUAGAGUGGGUAUUGGAGGAGGGAAUACUACAAAGAAGCACUUGUCUUCUCCAACAUUUGCGCAUCACAAGUUGUCGUUUCUCCAGACCCUUGCACAGUGUUGGUUUACCCACUACAUUGAAGUCACUAGAUAUCUCGAAGUGUACCAAACUGGAGUUUGUCCUGCGUGCACUAUUGAGAUCCCACCAUCCAUUCCUUGUAUUUUUGUUCAUUAGUGGUUUUGGGAACUGUAAUUCUUUCUCACUAUCUUUCUCAUUAAGCAUCUUCCCACGGUUGAACAGACUCGACAUCUCUGAUUUUGAAGGGCUUGAAUUCCUCUCCAUCUCCGUUUCAGAGGGGGAUCCCACGUCUCUUAAUUAUUUAACUAUCGAAGACUGCCCUGAUCUGAUAUAUAUUGAAUUGCCCGCUCUCGAGUCUGCACGCUAUGGGAUCUCCAGAUGUAGGAAGCUGAAGUUGCUAGCGCGCACACACUCAUCGUUGCAGAAAUUGAGGUUAAUAGAUUGUCCAGAAUUGUUGUUUCAGAGAGAUGGUUUGCCCUCCAACCUACGUGAACUUGAAAUUUCAUCCUGCAACCAACUCACAUCUCAGGUGGACUGGGGUUUGCAAAGACUGGCCUCUCUUACAAAAUUCACAAUCAGUGCUGGAUGCCAAGACAUGGAAUCAUUUCCCAACGAGUCCCUGCUACCCUCCACACUUACCUCUCUUUGUAUACGUGGUCUUCUGAAUAUCAAGUCUCUGGACAGCAAGGGGCUACAACAACUUACCUCUCUAACAACAUUAUCCAUCUUCAACUGCCCUAAGUUCCAAUCCUUUGGAGAAGAGGGGCUUCAACAUCUUACCUCUCUUAAAAAUUUAGAGAUGACCUACCUCCCUGUGCUCGAAUCUUUGAGAGAAGUAGGUCUUCAAUACCUCACCUCUCUCAAAGAAUUGUCUAUGUCCAAUUGCUAUCAUCUCCAAUGCUUGACAAAAGAGAGACUGCCAAACUCCCUGUCUUGUAUGACAAUCGGGAGUUGUCCUUUGCUGGAGGAUGGGUGCCAAUUUGAGAAAGGCCAAGAUUGGGAAUAUAUAGCUCACAUUCCACGCAUAGUGAUAGGUGGUGUGCUCUACUAAAUUACUAAUGAAGGUGGUGAUUUCACACACAUAAUGACUUCAGUAUGCUAAAUACCGUCAGUCAGGUUAACACAAGUCUCCGUAUACACAAACUUGUAAGAUUCCAUUUCCUAUGGUCUGACAGACAUGGUGCCAAGUAGCCCUCCACGUAUAAGAGACUUGUGUUCUUGAUAUAUGCCUAUGAUCUUUCCAAUGAAACAAUAUUUGAUGAGUCUCCCCCUGGAAAGGCAGCAGCAAACACAUACAUCUGAGAAUAUUCCAUUGGAAAUGUGUAAUGCCCUGUGUCAAUUUUUGCUGUCCUGUUGUUGGAGAUUUGAGUGUGCAGAGUACUCUGCCCUUUGACUUCAAAUUUUAUGCUUUGUUUGUUUGGUUUAAGAUUAUUAUUAUUAUUUUUUUAUUUUUUUAUUUUUAUCACUCUACAAAUCAAGAACAAAGAUAUCAAGAGUGCAGACAGAUUUGAACUCAGGUAGCUCAUAUAAAAAAAAAGUCACUUUUAUAUUCUCCAUGACUCAAUUAAGUUACCUUCAAAAUGGGAAAGUCUGAUUUCUGAUUUUCUCUUACAUAAGCAUGCAUGGGUGCAUUUUUGUUUAGCUAAUUUAUGGUUAGAGAAAUAAUUUAAUUGCUUUGGUCCAUUUUCUGAGGGUACAACAGAGGAGACUCUCUUUGUAAUCUGCAAAUUACAAGUUGUUCUUACAUCACUUUGUAGGUUGUAUGAGGCUGAAAUGUGUGAUAUCUUAUACCCACCAGAAAGUAACAGGUUGUUGGGGAUGGAAGGUGGAGUGAGGAAGAUGCUGCUCUUUUAGUGCCUGAGAGCUUAACUGGUAUUGAACAGGGAGAUGGAAAGUAGAAGAUGGUGUUUGACUGAGUCAGCAUUUUACCAGAGAUGGUGUUUACUGUGCUUCUGCUUGCAUAAAGGGAGAGAUCAGCAGUUAGCCACAUUUGAAAGGCAAGGAUACAGGAAUAUAGCAUCUUUGUUAUGAUUUUACUGCAUUUAUUUCUUUCCUAAUUUUGAUUUCAUUUUGUUCUUGUUUUGGUUUUUCUUAUGUCUUCUGUAUACGUUGUGUUGCUGUUGGGAUGAUCACUUAGAUCACUGUCAUGUACCCCACUCAAAAACAGGAUCCUUUUCUUAGAAUUGACAAUGUUCCUGUUCUUCUCAUUGGAGGAAGUCUUGGCUCUCAUUGAAGUUCUUAGUUAGAGUACCUAAUAUGCAAGAUAUGAUCAAAUAUUACUUGAAUUGGAAUUUCCAGAACUCUGUUAGUGAUGAAUUACAGGGAUCACACCAUCUUUUUCCUUGUUUCCUUGUCCCGCAAUAACUAUGUACUUUUGCUUAUGGGUCAUGAAGGAUUAAGCAAUUAAAGACAAUAGGAGUCAUCAUCAUCACAAGUCACAGCAUAUAAUAAAUAAGAAAUAGAAAAUUAAAGGUGAAAAAUGAAAUCCAUUCACUUAUACCCCAAAUGAUACCGAAACAUGCCUCUGACUAGUUAUUCACAGACAAAUAAUAAACAUGUCUU